rnacentral:rRNA from 1 species
UACGUAGGGUGCGAGCGUUGUCCGGAAUUACUGGGCGUAAAGAGCUCGUAGGUGGUUUGUCGCGUUGUUCGUGAAAACUCACAGCUUAACUGUGGGCGUGCGGGCGAUACGGGCAGACUGGAGUACUGCAGGGGAGACUGGAAUUCCUGGUGUAGCGGUGGAAUGCGCAGAUAUCAGGAGGAACACCGGUGGCGAAGGCGGGUCUCUGGGCCGGUACUGACGCUGAGGAGCGAAAGCGUGGGGAGCGAACAGG